UAGGGAAUCUUCGGCAAUGGGGGGAACCCUGACCGAGCAACGCCGCGUGAGUGAAGAAGGUUUUCGGAUCGUAAAGCUCUGUUGUUAAGGAAGAACGAGUGUGAGAAUGGAAAGUUCAUACUGUGACGGUACUUAACCAGAAAGGGACGGCUAACUACGUGCCAGCAGCCGCGGUAAUACGUAGGUCCCGAGCGUUGUCCGGAUUUAUUGGGCGUAAAGCGAGCGCAGGCGGUUAGAUAAGUCUGAAGUUAAAGGCAGUGGCUCAACCAUUGUAGGCUUUGGAAACUGUUUAACUUGAGUGCAGAAGGGGAGAGUGGAAUUCCAUGUGUAGCGGUGAAAUGCGUAGAUAUAUGGAGGAACACCGGUGGCGAAAGCGGCUAUCUGGUCUGUAACUGACGCUGAGGCUCGAAAGCGUGGGGAGCGAACAGG
rnacentral:rRNA from 1 species